GAUGAACGCUAGCGGCAGGCUUAACACAUGCAAGUCGAGGGGUAUAGUAGCAAUACUAGAGACCGGCGCACGGGUGCGUAACGCGUAUGCAAUCUACCUUUUGCAGAGGGAUAGCCCAGAGAAAUUUGGAUUAAUACCUCAUAGUAUUAUAGUAUGGCAUCAUAUUAUAAUUAAAGUCACAACGGCAAAAGAUGAGCAUGCGUCCCAUUAGUUAGUUGGUAAGGUAACGGCUUACCAAGACUACGAUGGGUAGGGGUCCUGAGAGGGAGAUCCCCCACACUGGUACUGAGACACGGACCAGACUCCUACGGGAGGCAGCAGUGAGGAAUAUUGGACAAUGGGCGCAAGCCUGAUCCAGCCAUGCCGCGUGCAGGAUGACGGUCCUAUGGAUUGUAAACUGCUUUUCCAGGGGGUGAAACUCCCGUACGAGUACGGGACUGACGGUACCUUGGGAAUAAGCAUCGGCUAACUCCGUGCCAGCAGCCGCGGUAAA
rnacentral:rRNA from 1 species